GGUAAACAGGUAAAAGGAGACUGCAAUUUUGCCUGGAUUUUUUCUGACUUAAGCAUGGAUUGGAACGUGCAAGCUGAUUCCUUUACCAUUCACCAACAGAUUUGGGAGGAAACGUAGGAGAACUGAAGAAAUCAAAUCGGAUGGAAGAUCAAAGCAUGAAUAAGGUCAAGUUUGGAUCAAACUCAUGGGAGACCAAAGUGAAAUAUAUUUGAUACCUCAAAGAUUAUAAGUUUAAAAGGAAACGCAAGGGAGAGGAGAAUACUUCACACGUUGAUAUUGCAAAGAUUACAAGUUACCAAAUAGGGCCAAGAGAGGAAAAAUUAUGGUUGUUGUUAUCUCGCUUGUUACACUUGUAAAUCACAGUGAAUCUGGCUUCGUAAAAGGUGUAGUUUAAGGCAUCGGAAUGUAAAAGAAUAAAGCGAUUUGUAAUGUAUUUAUUUAUUCUCCUUCGUAUAACUUUAAAUUUCACACAGUGAACUUGAGAACCCAAAAGAUGUUGUGAAACAUGUCGACUUCAAAAGACCAAGGAUAGGAUUUUAUGGCUCAUUUGAAACCCUGCCUUAUUUAGUGGGUGUCAUGGUGCAAUGACCAUUUCAAGCAAUUACU